GUCACUCACAUAGACUCCAGCUCAAGUUUUCAGAUGUUCAUCUGUCCUCACUGUACUCAGCAAGUCUUGUAGGUGUUCAUUAAGCCAAGUUGCAACCUGGGAAGCAUUUAUCUGAAUCUUGUAACUUCACCAGCUGUCCAGAGAUUACUCACUAUCAUUUACUAAGGAAAGAAAAGAAACAUAGCAAAAGUUAGGGUUCCCCUGAAAAAUGUUUUAAGAGGCAGGAGGACCUUGUAAGAUUGGACGUGGUGGCCAUUCUGCUCUGACCUGUUUCCAGAUACUUAAGGAGCCAGACACAGAACAAUAUGAUGAAAUUGCUGAUUUUGGAGUAAAUUGGCAUAAAUGUUCUAUGUGGAACUAUAAGGACUGAAAGAAAACAGCUGCCUGUCUCAAAGCAAGGCCACAGAAGGAAUUUGCCAUAAGACACCAAAACAGCAACUUAAACACAGACAGGAGAAAUUUUUGCCAGGAAGGAGCUAAUUUCAGACCUGGUGGAGGUAAGAUCUGGCUAGUACAUCCUGGUUAGCGUAUCUGGACAAAAAUUCCCACU